GUUGUUCGGAGUUGUCCCUCUCCUAGGUGAACUGCCUACCACGGCUAACGAGCCCCAUCUGCCCGUGUUUGUUGUUCGGAGUUGUCCCUCUCCUAGGUGAACUGCCUACCACGGCUAACGAUCCUCACCUGCCCGUGUUUGUUGUUCGGAGUUGUCCCUCUCCUAGGUGAACUGCCUACCACGGCUAACGAUCCUCACCUGCCCGUGUUUGUUGUUCGGAGUUGUCCCUCUCCUAGGUGAACUGCCUACCACGGCUAACGAUCCUCACCUGCCCGUGUUUGUUGUUCGGAGUUGUCCCUCUCCUAGGUGAACUGCCUACCACGGCUAACGAUCCUCACCUGCCCGUGUUUGUUGUUCGGAGUUGUCCUUCUCCUAGGUGAACUGCCUACCACGGCUAACGAUCCUCACCUGCCCGUGUUUGUUGUUCGGAGUUGUCCCUCUCCUAGGUGAACUGCCUACCACGGCUAACGAUCCUCACCUUCCCGGGUUUGUGGUCAGAGUUGUC